rnacentral:rRNA from 1 species
CCGCACGCGCGCUACACUGACAGAGCCAACGAGUUCAUCACCUUGGCCGAAAGGGUUGGGUAAUCUUGUUAAACUCUGUCGUGCUGGGGAUAGAGCAUUGCAAUUAUUGCUCUUCAACGAGGAAUUCCUAGUAAGCGCAAGUCAUCAGCUUGCGUUGAUUACGU